AACGAACGCUGGCGGCGCGUCUUAAACAUGCAAGUCGAACGGCAGGAAGGGGCUUGCCCCUUCUGAGAGUGGCGGACUGGUGAGUAACACGUGGGUGACAUACCUUUUAGUUGGGGAUAGCUAUUAGAAAUAGUAGGUAAUACCGAAUGUGACCGUACCUGUUAGAGGGGUACGAGGAAAGGAGCUAAGGCUUCGCUAAAAGAAUGGCUCGCGGCCCAUUAUGCUCGUUGGUGAGGUAACGGCCCACCAAGGCGAUGAUGGGUAUCCGGCCUGAGAGGGUGAACGGACACAUUGGGACUGAGAUACGGCCCAGACUUCUACGGGAGGCAGCAGUUAAGAAUAUUCCGCAAUGGACGAAAGUCUGACGGAGCGACGCCGCGUGGAUGAAGAAUGCCGAAAGGUUGUAAAAUCCUUUUAAGCCUGAUGGAUAAGCACAGUAGGGAAUGAUUGUGCGGUGACCGUAGGGCUUGAAUAAGCACCGGCUAAUUACGUG
rnacentral:rRNA from 1 species